CAAGGGGCCCUGCAUUUUCACUUUCCCUAGGCUCUGCAAAUUGUGUAGCCAGCCCUGCCUACAGGAGACAGGCAUCCUUCCCUCAAGACCUGAAGUUCAGGGCUGAAGCAUCUGACACUGAUAUAUGACCUUCCUUCAGAAUCCCCGGAACCUGCAUGUGAUUCUCCCACUGGAAAAUGCUAUAAUAUUCACAGUGAAGUUUCUCCUACCCUGUUACCUCCAACAUCAUAUCAUCUGACAGAACAUAUAGCCCCAGGGGCAAUGCUGAUUGAACACAGCCCAGAUCUCCCGAGAAGCCCUGUCCCAUUUAAAAUCGACACCCUCACAGCAAGAUCCUUCUUGACCCACCUCCUAGAGAAAUGGAAAUAAAAACAAAAAUAAACAAAUGGGACCUAAUGAAACUUAAUCUCCAAAAUUUACAAACAGCUCAUGCAGCUCAAUAUCAAAAAAACAAACAACCCAAUCCAAAAAUGGGCAGAAGACCUAAAUAGACAUUUCUCCAAAGUUGAUAUACA